UGAUCCUAGCUCAGGAUGAACGCUAGCUACAGGCUUAACACAUGCAAGUCGAGGGGCAGCAUGGUCUUAGCUUGCUAAGGCUGAUGGCGACCGGCGCACGGGUGAGUAACACGUAUCCAACCUGCCGUCUACUCUUGGACAGCCUUCUGAAAGGAAGAUUAAUACAAGAUGGCAUCAUGAGUCCGCAUGUUCACAUGAUUAAAGGUAUUCCGGUAGACGAUGGGGA
rnacentral:rRNA from 1 species